CAGACGCGAGGUGGCGAUUGGCUCCGGCGGCUGCCAGCGCGCCCGCCUGGCGGGUGAGGGGCGGGGCCCCGGGCGGCUGUGGAUGCGGACGGUGAGGCGGCGGCGGGGAGCGGAGUCCGGGGCGCCGGGGAAAGCAUCGGACACUUUUCCACCAUGCUGAUGGCAUUUUAAAUAUAUUUGUCAAUUUUCCCAAAUUUUAACUGAAGAAGACCUUAAGAAUUCAUACUCGAGGACAAAAGUGUGACUGCCGAUUAUCAGUAUCAGGCUUUCAGGAUGAAUCUGGAAAAACUCAGCAAGCCUGAACUCCUAAUGCUGUUUAGUAUUCUUGAAGGAGAGCUUGAAGCAAGAGACCUUGUGAUAGAGGCUUUAAAGAUUAUUCCACAGAUUCUUUU